rnacentral:rRNA from 1 species
GAUGAACGCUAGCGGCAGGCCUAAUACACGCAGGUCGAACGGUGGUAGCAAUACCAUAGUGGCGCACGGGUGCGUAACACGUAACUAACCUACCUAUAACUGGGGGAUAGCCCGCCGAAAGGCGGAUUAAUACCGCAUAAGCUAGUUAAACGGCAUCGUUUGAUUAGUAAAGAUUUAUUGGUUAUAGAUGGGGUUGCGGGUCAUUAGCUAGUUGGUAAGGUAACGGCUUACCAAGGCGACGAUGACUAGGGGAGCUGAGAGGCUGGUCCCCCACACGGGCACUGAGAUACGGGCCCGACUCCUACGGGAGGCAGCAGUAGGGAAUAUUGGGCAAUGGGCGAGAGCCUGACCCAGCCAUGCCGCGUGCAGGAAGAAGGCUUUCUGAGUCGUAAACUGCUUUUGACAGGGAAGUAUAAGCUGUACGUGUACAGUGAUGACGGUACCUGCAGAAUAAGCACCGGCUAACUCCGUGCCAGCAGCCGCGGUAAUACGGAAGGUGCGAGCGUUGUCCGGAUUUAUUGGGUUUAAAGGGUGCGUGGCGGCCCGUUUAGUCCGGGGUGAAGCCCGUUGCUCAACAACGGAACUGCCCUGGAUACUGACGGGCUUGAGUACAGACGAGGUUGGCGGAAUGGACCGAGUAGCGGUGAAAUGCAUAGAUACGGUCCAGAACCCCGAUUGCGAAGGCAGCUGACUAGGCUGUUACUGACGCUGAGGCACGACAGCGUGGGGAGCGAACAGGAUUAGAUACCCUGGUAGUCCACGCCGUAAACGAUGGAUACUCGCUGCGAGCUAAAGAUUGUUCGUGGCUUAGGGAAACCGAUAAGUAUCCCACCUGGGGAGUACGCCGGCAACGGUGAAACUCAAAGGAAUUGACGGGGGCCCGCACAAGUGGUGGAGCAUGUGGUUUAAUUCGAUGAUACGCGAGGAACCUUACCUAGGCUAGAAUGCGCGUGACCGGCUCAGAGAUGAGCCUUUCCUUCGGGACACAAAGCAAGGUGCUGCAUGGCCGUCGUCAGCUCGUGCCGUGAGGUGUUGGGUUAAGUCCCGCAACGAGCGCAACCCCUAUGUUUAGUUGCCAGCAUGUAAUGAUGGGGACUCUAGACAGACUGCCUGCGCAAGCAGUGAGGAAGGCGGGGACGACGUCAGGUCAUCAUGGCCCUUACGCCUAGGGCGACACACGUGCUACAAUGGACGGUACAGCGGGUAGCUACACAGCGAUGUGAUGCCAAUCUCGAAAAGCCGUUCUCAGUUCGGAUCGGAGUCUGCAACUCGACUCCGUGAAGCUGGAAUCACUAGUAAUCGCGCAUCAGCCAUGGCGCGGUGAAUACGUUCCCGGGCCU